rnacentral:rRNA from 1 species
UCGAGGGGUAGUAUAGCAAUAUAUGAGACCGGCGCACGGGUGCGUAACGCGUAUGCAACCUACCUUUUACAGGGGAAUAGCCCAGAGAAAUUUGGAUUAAUGCCCCAUGGUAUAUUUUAGUGGCAUCACUAGAUUAUUAAAGUUCCAACGGUAAAAGAUGGGCAUGCGUCCUAUUAGCUAGAUGGUAAGGUAACGGCUUACCAUGGCUACGAUAGGUAGGGGUCCUGAGAGGGAGAUCCCCCACACUGGUACUGAGACACGGACCAGACUCCUACGGGAGGCAGCAGUGAGGAAUAUUGGACAAUGGGCGCAAGCCUGAUCCAGCCAUGCCGCGUGCAGGAAGACGCAUCUAUGGUGUGUAAACUGCUUUUGUACGGGAAGAAACACCUCUACGUGUAGAGGCUUGACGGUACCGUAAGAAUAAGGAUCGGCUAACUCCGUGCCAGCAGCCGCGGUAAUACGGAGGAUCCAAGCGUUAUCCGGAAUCAUUGGGUUUAAAGGGUCCGUAGGCGGUUUGGUAAGUCAGUGGUGAAAGCCCUUCGCUCAACGGAGGAACGGCCAUUGAUACUGCCAGACUUGAAUUACUGGGAAGUAACUAGAAUAUGUAGUGUAGCGGUGAAAUGC